rnacentral:rRNA from 1 species
UACGUAGGGGGCAAGCGUUGUCCGGAUUUAUUGGGCGUAAAGAGCGUGUAGGCGGCCUGGAAGGUCAGCUGUGAAAACUCGAGGCUCAACCUCGAGACGUCGGUUGAAACCACCUGGCUAGAGUCCGGAAGAGGAGUGUGGAAUUCCCGGUGUAGCGGUGAAAUGCGUAGAUAUCUGGAGGAACACCGGUGGCGAAGGCGGCAUCCUGGACCGGCAUUGACGCUGAGGCGCGAAAGCCAGGGGAGCAAACGGG